rnacentral:rRNA from 1 species
GUGGAUUAGAUACCCUGGUAGUCCACGCCGUAAACGUUGGGCACUAGGUGUGGGGCUCUAUCGACGGGCUCCGUGCCGUAGCUAACGCAUUAAGUGCCCCGCCUGGGGAGUACGGCCGCAAGGCUGAAACUCAAAGGAAUUGACGGGGGCCCGCACAAGCGGCGGAGCAUGUUGCUUAAUUCGAUGCAACGCGAAGAACCUUACCUGGGCUUGACAUGCGGGGAAAAGCGGCGGAAACGUCGUGUCCUUCGGGGCCCCGUACAGGUGGUGCAUGGCCGUCGUCAACU